CUUCGGGCUCCGCACAACGGUGGUUUUCGUGAACCCCGCCAGACCGGGAACGGAGCAACGGUAGCAAAAAUCCUGUGUGUUGCGGGUAAGUCCGGAGUCU
rnacentral:SRP_RNA from 1 species